rfam:Felis catus isolate Cinnamon breed Abyssinian chromosome D3, whole genome shotgun sequence.
GCCUGGGUGGCUCAGUUGGUUGAGCGACCGACUUUGGCUCAGGUCAUGAUCUCGCAGUUUGUGGGUUCGAGCCCCGCGUCGGGCU